AGCGAACGCUGGCGGCAGGCUUAACACAUGCAAGUCGAGCGGGCAUAGCAAUAGGUCAGCGGCAGACGGGUGAGUAACGCGAGGGAACGUACCUUUUGGUUCGGAACAACACAGGGAAACUUGUGCUAAUACCAGAUAAGCCAUUACGGAGAAAGAUUUAUCGCCGAAGGAUCGGCCCGCGUCUGAUUAGCUAGUUGGUGGGGUAAAGGCCCACCAAGGCGACGAUCAGUAGCUGGUCUGAGAGGAUGAUCAGCCACAUUGGGACUGAGACACGGCCCAAACUCCUACGGGAGGCAGCAGUGGGGAAUAUUGGACAAUGGGGGCAACCCUGAUCCAGCCAUGCCGCGUGAGUGAUGAAGGCCCUAGGGUUGUAAAGCCCUUUUGUGCGGGAAGAUAAUGACGGUACCGCAAGAAUAAGCCCCGGCUAACUUCGUGCCAGCAGCCGCCGUAA
rnacentral:rRNA from 1 species